rnacentral:rRNA from 1 species
UACGUAGGGGGCUAGCGUUGUCCGGAAUCAUUGGGCGUAAAGAGCGUGUAGGCGGUCCGGUAAGUCCGCUGUGAAAGUCGGGGGCUCAACCCUCGAAUGCCGGUGGAUACUGUCGGGCUAGAGUACGGAAGAGGCGAGUGGAAUUCCAGGUGUAGCGGUGAAAUGCGUAGAUAUCUGGAGGAACACCGGUGGCGAAGGCGACGUCCUGGACCGGCAUUGACGCUGAGGCGCGAAAGCCAGGGGAGCAAACGGG